CKCAGGAGACUCUGAUGCAGCGAUGCCGCGUGAGUGAAGAAGGCCCUUGGGUUGUAAAGCUCUUUCGUCGGGGAAGAAAAUGACUGUACCCGAAUAAGAAGGUCCGGCUAACUUCGUGCCAGCAGCCGCGGUAUACGAAGGGACCUAGCGUAGUUCGGAAUUACUGGGCUUAAAGAGUUCGUAGGUGGUUGAAAAAGUUAGUGGUGAAAUCCCAGAGCUUAACUCUGGAACUGCCAUUAAAACUUUUCAGCUAGAGUAUGAUAGAGGAAAGCAGAAUUUCUAGUGUAGAGGUGAAAUUCGUAGAUAUUAGAAAGAAUACCAAUUGCGAAGGCAGCUUUCUGGAUCAUUACUGACACUGAGGAACGAAAGCAUGGGUAGCGAAGAGGAUUAGAUACCCUCGUAGUCCAUGCCGUAAACGAUGUGUGUUAGACGUUGGAAAUUUAUUUUCAGUGUCGCAGGGAAACCGAUAAACACACCGCCUGGGGAGUACGACCGCAAGGUUAAAACUCAAAUGAAUUGACGGGGACCCGCACAAGCGGUGGAGCAUGUGGUUUAAUUCGACGCAACGCGCAGAACCUUACCAACCCUUGACAUACUUGUCGCGGAUUCCAGAGAUGGAUUCCUUCAGUUCGGCUGGACAAUGUACAGGUGCUGCAUGGCUGUCGUCAGCUCGUGUCGUGAGAUGUUCGGUUAAGUCCGGCAACGAGCGCAACCCACGUCCUUAGUUACCAGCAUUUAGUUGGGUACCCUAAGGAGACUGCCGGUGAUAAGCCGGAGGAAGGUGUGUA
rnacentral:rRNA from 1 species